GUUGAACGCUGGCGGCAGGCCUAACACAUGCAAGUCGAGCGGAUGAGUGGAGCUUGCUCCAUGAUUCAGCGGCGGACGGGUGAGUAAUGCCUAGGAAUCUGCCUGGUAGUGGGGGACAACGUUUCGAAAGGAACGCUAAUACCGCAUACGUCCUACGGGAGAAAGUGGGGGAUCUUCGGACCUCACGCUAUCAGAUGAGCCUAGGUCGGAUUAGCUAGUUGGUGAGGUAAAGGCUCACCAAGGCGACGAUCCGUAACUGGUCUGAGAGGAUGAUCAGUCACACUGGAACUGAGACACGGUCCAGACUACUACGGGAGGCAGCAGUGGGGAAUAUUUGACAAUGGGCGAAAGCCUGAUUCAGCCAUGCCGAGUGUGUGAAGAAGGUCUUCGGAUUGUAAAGCACUUUAAGUUGGGAGGAAGGGCAGUAAGUUGAUACCUUGCUGUUUUGACGUUACCAACAGAAUAAGCACCGGCUAACUUCGUGCCAGCCGCCGCAGUAAUAC
rnacentral:rRNA from 1 species